rnacentral:tRNA from 2 species
CCUUCGAUAGCACAGUUGGUAGAGCGGGGGACUGUAGAUUUAUAAUUGUGAUCCCUAGGUCGCUGGUUCGAAUCCGGCUCGAAGAA